CGAACGGAGGCGAGCCGGAAGUGGGGGGGUUGUCUGCUCUCAGGCCCCGCCUCCCCGGGGCCGGCUCGGGCCACUUCUUGCGCGCUGCCAGAAGGAGCUAUUUUGAGCAGCUUCAAGGAGACUCUGCAUUCAAAAGACCACUCCCGGGCACUGCCUUCUACCAACUUCCCCAUCCAGCUCUGAUUGCAUCGGACCACUGUCUUCCCUCCAUGCCUCCAGCCCUGAGGUUGUCAACGGGGUGCUCCAGCCUCCAUGUGCACCCUGUGACUUCUUUCAUCCUAGUCCUUCUGACCCUCGUGGCUUCUCCUGCUCCAAGGCCAAGCUCGGGACCCUGUCAUCAUCCCCGGGGACAGGCCCCAUCUUAGAGAGGAUCCACCCAGCUCCCCGCUCCUGAGCCAUCUUCCAGCUAUCCCGCCUCGAGACUCCCACCGCACCUGCUCCUGGGCUGCAGCUGCACCCAACAAGUCAACAUGUGGAUUGCUUCUAGAAUUUGGAUAUUAUGAACACUGCUGUGCUGAACAUUCUUGUACACUUAUAUGGUUUGGCUGUGUCCCCACCCAAAUCUCAUCUUGAAUUGUAGCUCCCAUAAUUCCUAUGUGUCGUGGGAGGGACCCAAUGGGAGGUAAUUGAAUCAUAGGGGCAGGUCUUUCCCCUGCUGUCCUUAUGAUAGUGAAUAAGUCUCAUGAGAUCUGAUGGUUUUAUACAUGGGAGUUCCCCUGCACAAGCCCUCUUGUCUGCCGCCAUGUAAGAUGUGCCUUUGCUUCUCCUCUGCCUUCCACCAUGAUUGUGAGGACUCCCCAACCAUGUGGAACUGUGAGUCCAUUAAACCUCUUUCCUUUGUAAAUUACCCAGUCUUGGGUCUGUCUUUAUUAGCCGCAUGAGAACAUACCAAUUUAUACACAUCUUCUGGAACCCAUUUCUUUCUGGUAGGUACUAGGAGUGACACUGUCAGGCUGUAGGAUAUAAGAUGCUUCAACCUUAUAAGAUAAUGCCAACGGAGUGUAUGAAAGCCCCAUUAUGCUACAUCUACCCUAUUCUUGGUAUUGUCAGACUUUUAAAUGUUUGCUUCUCUGGUUGAUACGUAAUAGAAUUUUGUUGUGGUUUUAAUUUGCAUUUUUAAAAUUCCUAAUGAGGAUGGGC
rnacentral:lncRNA from 1 species